CGGACGAACGCCGGCUCCCUCUGCCUGAAAGCAAGAUGAACACUGCAACUGCUCAUCUUGCUUUACUGGCCGAGGGAGCCGACGUUUGUCCGCAGACAG